AUUAGAUACCCGGGUAGUCCGGCUGACUGACUCUUACACCAAGUAUCUCGUAUGCCGUCUUCUGCUUGAAAAAAAAAAAAUAGCUUAACUUUUGUAAGGCUUGCGAACUGGCAGACUUGAGUGCAGGAGAGGAAAGUGGAAUUCCUAGUGUAGCGGUGAAAUGCGUAGAUAUUAGGAGGAACACCAGUGGCGAAGGCGACCUUCUGGACUGUAACUGACUCUGAGGCACGAAAGCGUGGGGAGCAAACAG
rnacentral:rRNA from 1 species